GACGAACGCUGGCGGCGCGCUUAACACAUGCAAGUCGAACGAGAACCAGUCCUUCGGGACUGGGGACAGCGGCGAACGGGUGAGUAACACGUGGGUAAUCUGCCCUCGGCACCGGAAUAGCCCGGGGAAACCCGGAUUAAUGCCGGAUGGCCUCUCUGCCCUUCGGGGCGGUGAGAAAAGGUAGCUUCGGCCUCCGGCCGAGGAUGAGCCCGCGGCCGAUUAGCUUGUUGGUGAGGUAACGGCUCACCAAGGCGACGAUCGGUAGCUGGUCUGAGGGGACGAUCAGCCACACUGGGACUGAGACACGGCCCAGACUCCUACGGGAGGCAGCAGUGGGGAAUCUUGCGCAAUGGGCGAAAGCCUGACGCAGCGACGCCGCGUGCGGGAAGAAGGCCUUCGGGUUGUAAACCGCUUUCAGGAGGGACGAAGCCACUCGGGUUAAUAGCCUAGAGGGUGACGGUACCUCCAGAAGAAGCCCCGGCUAACUACGUGCCAGCCGCCGCGGUAACAC
rnacentral:rRNA from 1 species